UUUUGCCAAUUUUAUGGGCAUUGCGGAGCUAAUAGUAUUUGCAGCUUCGACAAGAAACCUCAUUGUGAGUGUUUGAAGGGAUUCGAGCUCAAAUCACAUCAUAACAAAACAAGGCCUGGAACAUGUGUUAGAAGUCAAUCAUCAGAUUGCAAAAGUGGAGACAGGUUUAUAAUGCUUGAUGAUGUUAAACUACCCGACUUUGUAGAGGCUUCACUAAAUGAGAGUAUGAAUGUUAAGGAAUGCGAGGCGGAGUGCUUGAAGAACUGUACUUGUAGAGCUUAUGCUAAUUCUAAAGUAACAGGGGAAGGCAGUGGCUGUUUGAUGUGGUUUGGGGACCUGAUUGAUAUCAGAAAGGCAGAUGACCGCAACAACGGACAGUCUAUCUACAUAAGAGUACCGGCUUCUGAACUAGGUACAAUUAUUUCAUCAUUAGAAUUGAUAGUGCAAGAUUUUUCCCUUCUUUUUUAAAGUACUUCAUUUUAAAAGCCGAGCCUUGUUGAAUCAAAAUGCGUUUAAGCUUCCUCGUUUCAUGAAAUAAAUGUAUCCAAACUAAUGUACAUGCCUCUCUCUCCCUUUUUUUUUUUGGUUUGGUGUGGUGGGGGUGGGGGGUUGGUUUGUUGUCGCGCGGCGCGGGGGGGUGGGUGGGGUGGUGUGGGACGGGACGUCGGUUUGGACUUUGCUUUCUUUCCAGUGACUUUUGUGAUGACGUGUUUUUUUGGAUGUAGGGGGAAAAAAACUUCUAUGGAUAUUAGUAAUUCUUGUUCUUCCGGCAAUACUUUUACCUGCUUCCUACAUAAUUUGUCAGAGGAGAAAACUCAAAGAAAUUGGUGACUCUUCUUGAAACCGUUUUCUUAUGUUUAUGAACCUAUAUGUAAAUAACUUAAUAUGAUAGAUCAUAUAUACUAAUAUUUUUGUAAGUUGUUUUACAGAAACAAAGAAAAGCCAAGAUAUGUUACAAUUUGACAUAAAUAUGAGCAUUGCGACAAGAGCAAAUGAAUUGUGCAAGGGAAAUAAAGCUGCAAAUAGUAGGACUAGGGAUUCUUGGUUUCCGAUGUUUAGCUUGGCAAGCGUAUCUGCAGCUACGGCUAACUUCUCUACAGAGAAUAAGCUAGGAGAAGGUGGCUUUGGUCCUGUUUACAAGGUAGAUUUCUUUUCAUCUCAGCUGUAUUAAUUGAACUUAAACUUUUGUAUGAAUCAGUGAUGAAAUUACAAAUGCAGGGGCGACUACUCAAUGGACAAGAAGUAGCAGUUAAGAGGCUCUCUAGUCAAUCAGGGCAAGGACAGGAAGAGUUUAAAAAUGAGAUAAAACUUAUAGCAAAGCUCCAACACAGGAACCUUGUUAGACUCUUGGGUUGCUGUAUAGAACUAGAAGAAAAGAUUUUGAUCUAUGAGUACAUGCCUAACAAAAGCUUGGAUUUUUUCCUUUUUGGUAUGUGAUUUGUAUAAUUCAUAAAAUGAAUAUUUUCACCAUCUUUCAACCUGUAUCAUUUAAGAUGGACAAGAUUUUUUAUACCAUAAUGGUUUGAUGUUGUUACAGAUUCCACCAAAGAGAAUCUAUUAGGAUGGGGAACACGUGUUAGAAUCAUUGAAGGAAUUGCCCAAGGGCUUUUAUAUCUUCAUCAGUAUUCCAGACUGAGAGUUAUUCACAGAGAUCUCAAGGCAAGUAAUAUUCUUUUAGAUAAGGACAUGAACCCUAAAAUAUCAGAUUUUGGUAUGGCCAGAAUUUUUGGUGGUGAUGAGUUGCAAUCAAAGACAAAAAGGAUUGUUGGAACUUAGUAAGUAAAUUUCAACUAUUGAGACUAUUAAUGUCAUUUGCUUUUCUGCAUUCGUAAAUCCUUUUAAGAUAGUUAAAGUUUUUAUGAAACAACGAAUUUCAGUGGUUAUAUGUCGCCUGAAUAUGCUCAACAAGGCCUCUUCUCUAUCAAAUCUGAUGUGUUUAGCUUUGGAGUAUUGCUUUUGGAAACACUAAGUAGUAAGAGGAAUACAGACUUCUCCAAUACUAAUUCCCUUACGCUUCUUGGCCAUGUAAGUGACAAGAUUUCACAAUUUUGUUUUUUUUUUGAAAUCUUUGAAUGUAUUAAGAUGAAUCUAGUAUUAAUCCUAAAUGAAUGGCAUUAUAUUAUACAUUAUAUUCCUUGAAAUGGAAAAUUUAAGAAUUCCCUACAUCUCAAUCGAACCAUUAUGACUCAAACACUCAUUCAGUAAUGGCAUGUUUGAUUUUAAGAAACAUGAAGAAAGGAGAAGAUAGGAAAAGAGGAAAGGGAAAAGGAGAUGAUUUCCUUGUCAAACCAAAAAAUUGAGAUUGGCUCUCUUUUUCCCUUAUUUUCUCUCUUUCUUUCUCCUUUCUGUUCCUCUCAUCUCCUCUAAUUUCUUCUAACAAAAAACGGACUUAAAUGUUCUGUUUUUCUUCAGGCUUGGGAUUUGUGGAAAGAUGAUAGAGCUUGGGAGCUGAUAGAUCCGACAUUGCAAAAUGAAGCAUCAUAUCUAAUACUAAACAGAUACAUCAAUGUGGGCCUUCUAUGUGUUCAAGAGGAUGCAGCAGAUAGACCAACCAUGUUUGAAGUUGUCUCAAUGCUUACCAAUAAGACAAUUAAUUUACCUCAUCCCCGACAGCCUGCUUUUUCAAGUAUAAGAGGUCUCAAAAAUACAAUUUUGCCGGCAAAUGGGAAGGCUAGAGUUUGUUCAGGAAAUUGCUUAACACUUUCAGAAAUGGAUGCUCGAUAGCUAUCUGUGCCUCAGUUUAUGUGCUUUAAUUUAAACUCUGUCUGUCUCUAGUUGUGAACCUCCAGUGAGAAUAUGUUAGUCAAUUACAUCCAACCAAUUCUUAACAAAAUUUAACCUAUUCAUCUCAUCUUCAUCCAAAUCAAGCCAACUUUGUCACAAUUUCAUGGAAAUCACUCAAGAUUAACAACUAUUUUACAACAUGAUCAAGUUAUUAUAAGCUAGAGUCCAAUUAUUAUAUUUUUGUACUUUUCAUCCUCCAUCCUCAAUAAAUAGAGGUGUCUUGUUCAUUUAAGAGGUACAGAAUUAAGAGUGAGAAAUUAAAGAGAAGUAGUUAACAAUGGGUAAUUAUGUAAGUUCUCUAAUUGUUUUUAUUCAUUUAAUUAUGAACUAACUUUCUUUUACAAAGGUUAGGAUAAAGUCCUUUUAAUAUAACAAAUUCCAAUUUUUCUUUAUUAAUAAAUGAUUUAUGCUUUUAAUGUUUUUAAUUCUGGUUUCACAUGAUUUAUAGCAAAUGAAACUCUUUUCACCGUCAGUAUCAUAUAUUCUUGCAGCUAGGAAUAGUUUUAAUAAAUCUAUGCUUAUUUCAGUAGUUUUAAAAUCAUCAGCUCAUUUUAUAUUUUUCAAAAUUGGAUACAUAAAAUGCUUAAUGUUAAUACUUAAUACCCUUGAAGCGAAGACGAAUUUGUUUAGAAAUUUCACAUAAAAUCUUUAAGUAAACAAUGGAAUAAUGGAUUGAUUACAAGAUUGUUACUCUUAAGGGGUGGACCAGAACUGAACUGAACUGAAACAUUUUGGUUCAGUUCAGUUCAGGUCGGGUCAUUUAAUCAUUUGCUGUUCAAACAAUAGCUAUUUCCAAAGCCUGCUUUGUUUCAGCUUUUUAUAUGGGAUUAAAAAAUAUAAAAGAAACAGCAAUUAAACUCAACUAUUCUUCACUAACAUCAAAUCAAAAUAUGCCAAAACUCAAAAUGAUUGAUUACAGUACAUCCAGCAGUUAUGCUACUGCCUAAGAAAACAAACACCAGAGAGAAGAAAAUGGGACAUCAGGCUAACAAUUGUCAAGUGUCAAAAGCUCUGCAUGAAGUUUCAAAACAAUAUAUACACAAUCCAACACAAGCUUUUAACAUUCACUAACAAGAAACAACAUCCUCCAGUUGAGUUAAGGAUUCAAAGAAAAUAGUCAAAUCAAUUGCUUGAAGUCUUUAUUUUCAGUUCUAUUAAUAACUCUUUCUUUUUUAAUCCAAUUAUACACUAAAACCUAAAAGCUUAACACUAUGAAGCUGCACUAAUUCAUCAAUUUUACUAACAAUAACCAACUCUUUUGCAAAACAUCCAGAGCUUAGCUAUUUAAAGACAUCACUUUAAGAUAAUUCAACAAAUUACAGCAAAAUCUCAAAUCUAUAAUAUGAAAUAGUAUGAAUACCGAAUGGAAGAAAAAAGAAAAGAAAAUUUUAUUAAAUUAAAUUAUUGCAGUAUUAAUCACAACUCAAUUAAUUUGACUAAUUUAAUUCAGGCCCAAAAUUAAUGGGAAAAUAAAAAACGAAGUCUCAACUCACUGUCUCUGGUGGCCGGCGCGAUCGUAACGACUGAACGAGGCUGCGACGGCAACAGCUGAGACCGGAGGGUGAGAUGGUGACAGAAGACGAAGAGAGUGAGAGAGGAAGGAGCUGCUGGUGGCCUGCGGCUGCCGUGCUGGGCUGCCGUUUUAGGGAAUUACGGUUUUAGCUUAGGGCCGGUUUUCCCUUCUUUUGUUUAAUUGCAUGAACCGAUCGGCUGUGCAUUCCAUUCGGUUUUGGAGCCGAACUAAGUACAAAG
rnacentral:lncRNA from 1 species